UUAGCAGGUCGGCUUGUCGCUGUUCCAAGUGAUUGGAAAAGAGGAAAGUCCGGGCAACACAGAGCAUCAUAGUUCCUAACGGAAACUUGUCCGCGAGGGCAAAGCAAGCGUAACAGAAAAUAACCGCCGAAAGGUAAGGGUGAAAAGGCAGGGUAAGAGCCUACCGCUCCGGUGGCGACACGCGGGGGUCAAUACGUCUUAUGAGUUGCAAGAUUAUGUAUAUCGGCGAUAUGAGGGUUGCUCGCCCGAUGCCGAGGGGUAAAUCGCAAGAGGCUGUCGGCAACGGCAGUCGUAGAUAAAUGACAAGCAUUCCGAAAGGAAUACAGAACCCGGCUUACAGACCUGCUGAUUUU
rnacentral:RNase_P_RNA from 1 species